rnacentral:tmRNA from 1 species
GGGGACGUUACGGAUUCGACAGGGGUAGUCUGAGCUUAAGUUGCGCGUCGGAGGGGUCGGCUCCGUAAAAACGCCAUUUAUAAUAACAGGCAAAACAAACAACAAUUUAGCAUUCGCAGCUUAAUAGCUGACUGAAUCUGCCUUAUCGUACCAUCGCCCAUGUGGCGCGCUAAGGUUCACUUAUUAGUGGGAUACGCUAGUUAUCGCCUCCUGAGGUAACUAGAAGAGAUUACCAGGAUAGCGCACAGGACGCCGUGAUUGACGGCAUAAUGAUGCGCGAAACCUAAGUAGUCAAUCUAUGCGCGUAGACGCUUAAGUGUUGGGGCCUCUGGACGCGGGUUCGACUCCCGCCGUCUCCA